rnacentral:lncRNA from 1 species
AUCCACUGUGGGGCGCCAGUGUUUUGGAUCUGCUGGUGGGAAUGGGGAAGAGCGCGCAAGAGGCCCGCGCCACCCUGGACCCGCCAGCUUCAUCAAACUUCUUUCUGGGCCCAAGGGCGCUCUGGACCGCGGCCCCGAGGCCGCUCGCGAAGCUGGCACCGCAGGGGGCUGGGGAUCCUCCGCCCGCCCGCGGAAGAAGGGAGCCGGGUCUGCGCAGACAGCGGGCUCGGAUAAAGCCUCAGAGGGGCCAGCGCUGCGCGCCCGAGCCCACACCUCUUGGUCCUCUGCCCGGCCCGCCUGGGCGCCCAGCAUCUCGGCUGCGGCCCCCGCCUCCUCCUCCCCCCGCCCCGCGCCCGCCCGCCCGCAGGGAGCGGCCCCUCCGCCUUGGCCCCAGGUAAGCUGUGCCAGCGCCGGGGUGGGGCGGGCGCUUCCGGGAAAGGCGUCGCUGGUGCUCGGGGACCUCGCCCGGCCGGGCCAAGGCUACCCCGAGCCCCUCUGCAUCCUGGCCGCUGACCGUCCAGCGCUCCAUCCCUUCGGACCACUCCACCCUUCGCAAUUCUUUGUCCCAGCGUUUCCAGGCUGCGUUGCCCUUUUCUUACCCUUCGUGGGGAACUUAGCCCCGGCAACCCCUCUUCCGAGAGGAACCAUGGCCUUUCGCCUCCUUCUCCUGCCUCAGCGCCGCCGGCUGACAACAGAAGGGGCAUCUGGGGCUGGGGACUCAGGCCACGGACCGGUCCCCACUGCAGUUCCACCCUCCCUGACUCAGCCGCGGGCAGCCCUGCCCCCCCAACCCCGGACCCUUCCUUUCGCAGCAGGACAAAGCCCCUCCAGCGCCCCGCUCGCGGCGUGUGGGUGGAGUGGGGAGAGGGGACAAGGGAAGUCUUGUCUCUCGAGAUUCCUGGGAGAGCGUG